UGCCUAAUGCCAGGUGCAGAGCUAGGCUCUGGGGAGACAAUGGAGAAUGAUCCAUCCCUAAGGUUGUAGCCCUGUCCCUCUGCCAACAACUCCUUCCUGAGACACAGCAGUCCACCCUGGAGACGAAAGCACACAGCACCGUGCUCCCAGACCAUGUAGACCCCAGGGAUGCAGACCAUGCUGAUUCACCUGCGCCUCUCAGGAAACCU
rnacentral:lncRNA from 12 species